ensembl:lncRNA
GUUUUAUAUGCACAGAGAAAGUGGCGAUACACAAGGAAUACAUCAGACGUCAUUACACAACUAGACAUGCUGAGGAGGAUGCAAAAUACCAGGGAGAUGACAGAGAGAACCGGGUCGACAGUCUUAAAACAUGUCUACUGAGGCGACAAGACUUCUUCAAGAAAGCAGGUGUGGUGAGUUCAAAGCCUCAUCAAAUCCACUAAACCCUGAUUGAUCCUUCAGCCUCGGUUUUACAGGUUGUUUCAGAGACAUUCCACUGAGUUUGACUUUCCAUUGCACCAUUUCACACAGACCCCUGAGCCUUCAAGAACCCUGAAACCUUCACUGUUUCCUUCCCUUAUGACCAUGAAUGUUCCUGGACAGUUCAUCUGUAGUUCUAGUGGCUCAGCUCUUUUAAGUUUCUACAGCGUCUGGCCGGCAGUGAACGACAGACCAGAACAAAGCAAACAGCAGACCGGCCAUGACGAUGACGAUGACGGUGACGGUGACGGUGGUCGGCCUCUUCCAGGCAGCAGCACCUGCAGGGAGUCAGAACCCGACAUGAUCAGGACAGAGCAGCUGAUUCUGGAGAUUUAGAAACCAGGACAAUAAACGUUGUCAUGACAACCAGCUCAGAAUCUUGUCUACGCUGAAAUCAUCUGGUCCCGAAGGUGAGCUGGGUCAGGCUGAACCUGUACCUGUGAUGGACACACAGCGGGUGUCGGUGCUGCUGCUGUGCAGCCCAGAGUCCAGGACGACCUGAGCGCUGACGCAGUACAUCACUCCCACCUGCAGGGCGGCGACGUGGAGCACCGUCUGCUCAGAGGGCAUCGAGAACACAGCAGCCUGAAGGAGAC